rnacentral:rRNA from 1 species
GGAUUAGAUACCCUGGUAGUCCACGCCGUAAACGAUGGAUACUAGGUGUUGCGGGUAACCACUCCUGCAGUGCCGUAGCUAACGCAUUAAGUAUCCCGCCUGGGGAGUACGGCCGCAAGGCUAAAACUCAAAGGAAUUGACGGGGGCCCGCACAAGCGGUGGAGCAUGUGGUUUAAUUCGACGCAACGCGAAGAACCUUACCUGGGCUAGAAUGUUUCUGCAACCUCGAGAAAUCGGGGGUUCCUUCGCGACAGAAUACAAGGUGUUGCAUGGCUGUCGUCAGCUCGUGCUG